UUAGAGCACUGGGAAGGGAACCUUCCUCCUGCCCCCGCAACCUCCCUUCCCAACACUCCUCUCCGCACGCCGCCAAGUCCGCAGCACCUCGCACCGGCACUGCACCGCCCGGCCCCGCCGCCUCCGCACCAUCUCACACUGCCAUCUUGCCGCCCCCGCCUACCUCGCAGUCGCCUUGCUGCCUCACCUCACACCGGAGCCGCCGUCUCCGCCCCACACCACCUCGCCUCGCGUCGGCGCCCGACACGUACGCCCAUCAUUACCGUCGACGUUGUAUUACCACGGCCACCCCUACUGCGGCCGUCGUCUCCACAUCGGUGCCGCGCUGGCAGGUGGAUCUGGUCGACUUCAUCGACUGGACUGGCGUCAAGUGGGUCAACCAGGACUCCUCUCACAACAUCACCGGCGCGAGGUGAGGAGCUUGAUGGCAGCAUGCCUCACCUGAUCUUUUGUCCCCAAAUCUCAGGUGAUGUCUUCCCUCGAAAAUUUUAGUGAGCGUAAAUUGUGUUUUGGCGUGAUCACAUUUUCAGUUAAAUCAUUUGUUUGCUGCACGCAGACAACAAUACGCGGCUAACAAACCAUUGACGUACGCACUCUAUGAUUUUGCAUAGUAUCAAUGGACGCGAUGACCCGAUUAUCGCUGGUGCCAUCUCUGAUUUCUAUGGAUGAGCUUGGCUGUAAACCGCCGCCAGCCACUUCUGCCCUGGAUCAGUCGUCCGGCUAAUGUGAUAUUUCACAUGCUCAACACACUUAUGUUCUUCUUACUAUUAUGAUAGCUAAGUUUUGCAGUAUUAUGUGGCUGUAUAGCUAAGACCGCUUGCAAUUUCAACUGUACAGUUCUCAUCAAUUUCAAUAAGGAAACAAAAUAAUCUUUAUAUUUCUCUUUCAUCCAACUGGGUCAUCCUCAAAAUACUAUUUUGUACAAAUUUUUCCAGGUGUGACAUAUGUAAAUGUAAAUGGGACUGCAACUCGAUCAUCAUUGAGUAGCAUCCUUUCAGGAGAUGUGAGUAUAAAGGAUUCAAAAAGUACAAUAAAGGUCAAAAAUAUUGGGCAGCUGGUAUCCAGUGUGCCCCUAGAGGCACAUUCCAUUUCUUCAAUACAUGAUACAAUGUGGCCGAUGCUGGUUUGUUUCUCUUCCUGGUGACUUCUUUUUAUUUAUUUAUUACAAGUCGUGAUCCUGGAUGACUUCCUUCAUUAUACUAAUCUGAAAGCCAAGUUUGAUUUAGUUGAGUUCUUGCACGCAACUCCUCAUGCAAUGAAUGAGUAAGGCAAUUUUAAAAGUGAAGGAUCAUCAAUAUAGUUUUUUUGCUGCUUUUGUCACAUGCUUAUCUUUGACGACAAGCUCUUUAUUAUGCAUUGUAGUCCGGCGGAUGUCUCUUACAUUGGUAUUUAACUUUAUAUAUUUGAGCUAUGUCUCUAUUUUUUUUUGCAACAACAAAUGAAGACUGACAUUGAUUCGAGGCUGCUUCUGCUUUUCAGACAUAGUGGGGACAUUUAAGAUUUAUAGCAAAUAUAUGAGAGUCAAGAAAUGCACAUAACCUCAAGUUAUAUUUUCUAUUGUAACUAGACAUAUAAAAUAAAAUGUUUCUUCAUUUUUCACUCAUCAAGGUUACCAAGUGCCAAAAACAGUAGAUAUACAAAGUAACUAUGGAAACCUAGAUAGAAAUAUUAUAUUUCUUUGAUGGGCCCCAGUUUCAUAUGAGGAAAACAAAUCAGGUGUGUUCCUUCUAUGUCUAAUUUGUAUAAGUGCAGAUUUUCAUGAAAGUUUUUUUAUUAGGCGGAAAUGGUUGACUUAUUCAACCAACUAUCAUGCACCCAUCAUUCAGAUAUGUUCAUAUGCAUUUCUUUCUUUUUUAGGCUUGGAGCGUUAUACUUGGAAAUUGAUGUUGGCCAAAGUUACUUCAAUGGAAUGGUGCCAGUAUGUGAUUUAAAUAUACUUGAAGAACAUUUACCUUAUUUUUCAGGUUUUAGUAACCAUUUUUUGUUGGUUGUCAAUAUUGCUACAUGGGUACUUGGGUUGCUGUACUGGGCACAUCUUAGUUCAAUCACUAUCUAUAGUUUCAGCUCAUUAGCUCAUGAAUUACCUUUGAAAGUAUGGUACCAUGUCAUAUAAUGAAUAUAAUCCUAGUUGUUUUUUGUUGUCAUUUUCUUACAAUGGCAGUAAGUACUAUUAUAUACGGCAAUAUGAGACAUGCUUGUGAAGUGGCAUUUCUAUUUAGUGAUUUACUGCGAGGUAUUAUCGAUCUCCUAUGUUGAGUGUCGACAGAUGGGAAAUUUAAAUUCUGUCGCUUGGGCAAUAUGAGUACUUGGGUUGCUAUACUGGGCACAUCUUAUUUCAAUCACUAUCUAUAGUUUCAGCUCAUUAUAUUAGCUAAUGAAUUACCUUGGAAAGUAUGGUACCAUGUCAUAUAAUGAAUAUAAUCCUGGUUUUUUGUUGUUCUCAUUUUCUUACACCGACAGUAAGUACUAUUAUACACUGCAAUAUGAGAUAUGCUUGUGAAGUGGCAUUUCUCUUUAGUGAUUUACUGCAAGGUAUUAUCGAUCUCCUAUGUUGAGUGUCGACAAAUGGGACAUUUAAAUUCAGUAUGAAUCUGGAUGAAGAGGAGGCAGAUAACAUAAUCUUGGUGAAGAUAUUUCAAUGGAGACAACAUAGUGUUGCAUUUUUAGUAGACCAAUAGAAAAUUGUAUUGCUUGGUUGUUACAUCCCCUUUUCAAUGUAUUUUUUUUACCCAUUAUUGCCAUGGAAUAGAUGAUAUCUAACAAUCAAGUUCGAAGUUACUAUAAAAAUAUCAUAAAAUGGUCGGGCAUUGUUGUCCACUACAUUAUGUUCCAUUUUCUCCAUAUGUAUGCUCCCUUUAUUUGUGGUUGUAAAUCAUUUACCAAUUUUUUAUCCAUUCAUAUUACAUUUAUUUUCUGCUUGUAGUUUGUUUUGCAAGCAAUAUUGACCAUAUGCCUCCAUGGAUCUAAUCCUCUGGGCACUACUUCUUAUUGUAAAUCAACUGACAUGAUCAUAGCGAUUCGUAUAUAGUGGCUAUUAUUUUGAAGUUUCAUGAGUGUUUUGCUUGAUCAUUGAAAAGAGUAUUGAUCGAGACGUGCCUUGCAUGUGUAAGCUUACUAGUUACUACAGAUUGUUCUGUUUUUGACAGAUUCUGUUUUUGUUGUGUUAUGUGCUUGUUUUAAUGAUUACAUGGUUUCCUUCGAAGAGUUUUUGCCAUGGAAGAGUUAAAAUAAAGUAGAUGUAAUACAAUAAAAAAAUAUGAAUGGGUUUGCAACAAUACUUAAAUUAGUGAUUUGCUUUCUUAUACUAACGGAUCUCACGAAGGUUUUGUUGAGUUUUGUGUGAUUGAAGUUUUCAAGUUUUG